rnacentral:rRNA from 1 species
GGAAUAUUGGACAAUGGGCGCAAGCCUGAUCCAGCAAUGCCGCGUGUGUGAAGAAGGCCUUCGGGUUGUAAAGCACUUUCAAUAGGGAGGAAAAGUUAUGUCUUAAUACGGCAUAGCCGUGACGUUACCUAUAGAAGAAGCACCGGCUAACUCCGUGCCAGCAGCCGCGGUAAUACGGAGGGUGCAAGCGUUAAUCGGAAUUACUGGGCGUAAAGCGCGCGUAGGCGGUUUGCUAAGUCAGAUGUGAAAUCCCCGGGCUUAACCUGGGAACUGCAUUUGAGACUGGCAGGCUAGAAUGUGGUAGAGGUGAGUGGAAUUCCAGGUGUAGCGGUGAAAUGCGUAGAGAUCUGGAGGAACAUCAGUGGCGAAGGCGACUCACUGGGCCAUUAUUGACGCUGAGGUGCGAAAGCGUGGGUAGCAAA